AUGGAUUUAGAACGGCGGCGGCAAAGAUUAUCCCGUUGUCAUCCAGCCUGCGCUCAAUCGCGACGGCUCUGACUCGCUGCCGGUAGAUCAAAAUCACAGCACAAUCAAAAUGAAGACGGACCCUGUGUAUUUGGGUUGUUAAUUAUUACGAUGUAAUGGUGAAAAUACUUUGGGUGGGGGGGAUCAUUUUUUAUCCCCACCGAGGAUAAAAAUAAUUCAGCAGAGGGUAGGACGUGUAAACCAGAGGGGGGUAUAAUCCCCACCAUCCCCACCG